rnacentral:rRNA from 1 species
AGCUCCAAUAGCGUAUAUUAACGUUGUUGCAGUUAAAAAGCUCGUAGUUGAAUCUGUGAUGCUGUCCCUGAUCCCAUCGUGGUUUCACGGGCACAGUGUCUUCUUUGGGUGGAAUGUGUCUGGCAUUAGGUUGUCGGGCACGGGAUGCCCAUCUUUUACUGUGAGAAAAUUAGAGUGUUCCAAACAGGCUUAUGCCGUUGAAUAUGUUAGCAUGGAAUAAUGUAAUAGGACUUUUGUUCUGUUCAUUGGUUUGGGUUCAAAAGUAAUGAUUGAUAGAAAUUGUUGUGGGUUUUCGUAUUCCAUUGUCAGAGGUGAAAUUCUUGGAUUUUUGGAAGACGAACUACUGCGAAAGCAUUAACCAAGGAUGUUUUCA